GCCGACUUAGCUCAGUAGGUAGAGCAACUGACUUGUAAUCAGUAGGUCACCAGUUCGAUAUUACGUGGGAGCAGGUU
rnacentral:tRNA from 1 species